rnacentral:rRNA from 1 species
GGAAGGGGUGUAUUUAUUAGAUAAAAACCCAAUGCCCUUCGGGGCUCUUUGGUGAUUCAUGAUAACUUAACGGAUCGCAUGGCCUUGCGCCGGCGACGGUUCAUUCAAAUUUCUGCCCUAUUAACUUUCGAUGGUAAGGUAUUGGCUUACCAUGGUUUCAACGGGUAACGGGGAAUUAGGGUUCGAUUCCGGAGAGGGAGCCUGAGAAACGGCUACCACAUCCAAGGAAGGCAGCAGGCGCGCAAAUUACCCAAUCCCGACACGGGGAGGUAGUGACAAUAAAUACUGAUACAGGGCUCUUUUGGGUCUUGUAAUCGGAAUGAGUACAAUUUAAACCCCUUAACGAGGAACAAUUGGAGGGCAAGUCUGGUGCCAGCAGCCGCGGUAAUUCCAGCUCCAAUAGCGUAUAUUAAAGUUGUUGCAGUUAAAAAGCUCGUAGUUGAACCUUGGGCCUGGCUGGCUGGUCCGCCUCACCGCGUGUACUGGUCCGGCCGGGCCUUUCCUUCUGGAGAGCCCCAUGCCCUUCACUGGGCGUGCGGGGGAACCAGGACUUUUAC